UCCAGCUCCAAUAGCGUAUAUUAAAGUUGUUGCAGUUAAAAAGCUCGUAGUUGGAUUUCGGAAGGUCCUUAGCAAUCCGCCCCUUCGGGGAGCGGGUUGCUGGCCUCCUAUGUUCCUAACGGCCCUCAUCCGCGAGGGUGGGGAAUCAACCGCUAGGAUCGUUUACUUUGAGGAAAUUAGAGUGUUCAAAGCAGGCGUAACUCGCCUCCGAAUACGUUAGCAUGGGAUAAUGGAAUACGACUUCGGUCUUGUUUCGUUGGUUUCGCUUGGCUGAAGUAAUGAUUGAUAGGGACAGUUGGGGGCAUUAGUAUUUAGUUGUCAGAGGUGAAAUUCUAGGAUUUACUAAAGACUGACCAAUGCGAAAGCAUUUGCCAAGGAUGUUUUCAUUAAUCAAGAACGAAAGUAGGGGGAUCGAAGACGAUCAGAUACCGUCGUAGUCUCUACCGUAAACUAUGCCGACCAGGGAUCCGGAGAGUUUGCAUGGAUGACUCCCCGGGCACCUUGUGAGAAAUCAUAAGUGUUUGGGUUUUGGGGGGAGUAUGGUCGCAAGGCUGAAACUAAAGGAAUGACGGAACGAAUUCCCCCARRGGA
rnacentral:rRNA from 1 species